rnacentral:rRNA from 1 species
GAUGAACGCUGGCGGCGUGCUUAACACAUGCAAGUCGAACGGAAAGGCCUCUGCUUGCGGGGGUACUCGAGUGGCGAACGGGCGAGUAACACGCGGGCGAUCUGCCCUGCACUUCGGGAUAAGCCUGCGAAACUGGGUCUAAUACCGGAUAGUACAAUGGUUUGGAUGCUGUUGUGGAAAGUUUUUUGUUGAAGGAUGAGCUCGCGGCCUAUCAGCUUGUUGGUGGGCUGAUGGCCUACCAUAGCGUCGACGGGUGGCCGGCAUCAGACGGUGUACUGACUCACUGGACUCGAGAUUCGGUCCAUACUCGUAGGGGAGGAGGCUGGGAGUAAGAUUGCACAAUGGGCGCUAGCAUGAUGCAGCGACGCCGAGUGCGAGAUGAAGGCCUUCGGGUUGUAAACUCCUUUCGCUAGGGACGAAGCGUUUUUGUGACAGUACCUGGCGAAGAAGCACCGGCUAACUACGUG